rnacentral:rRNA from 1 species
ACGGACGCUGGCGGCAGGCUUAACACAUGCAAGUCGAACGCCCCGCAAGGGGAGUGGCAGACGGGUGAGUAACGCGUGGGAAUCUACCCAGAUCUUCGGAACAACUGAGGGAAACUUCAGCUAAUACCGGAUACGCCCUACGGGGGAAAGAUUUAUCGGUUCUGGAUGAGCCCGCGUUGGAUUAGCUAGUUGGUGAGGUAACGGCCCACCAAGGCGACGAUCCAUAGCUGGUCUGAGAGGAUGAUCAGCCACACUGGGACUGAGACACGGCCCAGACUCCUACGGGAGGCAGCAGUGGGGAAUAUUGGACAAUGGGCGAAAGCCUGAUCCAGCCAUGCCGCGUGAGUGAAGAAGGCCUUAGGGUUGUAAAGCUCUUUCGGCGGGGACGAUGAUGACGGUACCCGCAGAAGAAGCCCCGGCUAACUCCGU